rnacentral:rRNA from 1 species
AUGAACGUUAGCGGCGCGCUUGAUGCAUGCAAGUCGAACGCCUGAGUUGUCCGCAAGGAUAACAAGGGAGUGGCGAACGGCUGAGUAACGCGUAAGCAAUCUAUCUUCAAGUGGGGAAUAACUUGUCGAAAGGCAGGCUAAUUCCGCAUGUGCUGAUGAGCGAUAGUUUUUCAGUAAAGCUUUCGGGUGCUUGAAGAGGAGCUUGCGUCUGAUUAGCUAGUUGGUAAGGUAAUGGCCUACCAAGGCGAUGAUCAGUAGCUGGUCUGAGAGGACAACCAGCCAGACGGGGACUGAGACACGGCCCCGACUCCUACGGGAGGCAGCAGCAAGGAAUUUUGCGCAAUGGGCGAAAGCCUGACGCAGCGACGCCGCGUGGGGGAUGAAGGCCUUCGGGUCGUAAACCCCUUUUCUCGGGGAAGAAACAUGACGGUACUCGGGGAAUAAGUCUUGGCUAACUACGU